UACGUAGGGGGCAAGCGUUGUCCGGAAUCAUUGGGCGUAAAGCGCGUGUAGGCGGUCCGGUAAGUCCGCUGUGAAAGUCGGGGGCUCAACCCUCGGAUGCCGGUGGAUACUGUCGGGCUCGAGUCCGGAAGAGGCGAGUGGAAUUCCUGGUGUAGCGGUGAAAUGCGCAGAUAUCAGGAGGAACACCAAUGGCGAAGGCAGCUCGCUGGGACGGUACUGACGCUGAGGUGCGAAAGCGUGGGGAGCAAACAGG
rnacentral:rRNA from 1 species